rnacentral:rRNA from 1 species
UUUGUAUAAUGGGUCAGCGACUUAAUCUGACGAGCAAGCUUAAGCCGGUAGGUGUAGGCGCAGCGAAAGCGAGUCUGAACAGGGCGUUCAGUUCGUCGGAUUAGACCCGAAACCGGGUGAUCUAGCCAUGAGCAGGUUGAAGGUAAGGUAACACUUACUGGAGGACCGAACCGGUGCCUGUUGAAAAAGUCUCGGAUGACUUGUGGCUAGGGGUGAAAGGCCAAUCAAACUCGGAAAUAGCUGGUUCUCCGCGAAAACUAUUUAGGUAGUGCGUCGGAUGAAUACCUUGGGGGGUAGAGCACUGGAUGGGCUAGGGGGUCUCACCGACUUACCAAACCUAACCAAACUCCGAAUACCCGAGAGUACUAUCUGGGAGACAGACGGUGGGUGCUAACGUCCAUCGUCAAAAGGGAAACAACCCUAACCUACAGCUAAGGUCCCCAAGUCAUAGUUAAGUGGGAAAGCAUGUGGGAUUACUCAGACAACCAGGAGGUUGGCUUAGAAGCAGCCAUCCUUUAAAGAAAGCGUAACAGCUCACUGGUCUAAACAAGGGUUCCUGCGCCGAAAAUGUAUCGGGGCUCAAGCCACGAGCCGAAGCUUAAGGUUUGCACUUUGUGCAAGCGGUAGCGGAGCGUUCCAUAAGCCAACGAAGGGAGACCCGUGAGGGCUCCUGGAGGUAUUGGAAGUGCGAAUGCUGACAUGAGUAACGACAAUGCGAGUGAAAAACUCGCACGCCGAAAGACCAAGGUUUCCUGCGCAACGUUAAUCGACGCAGGGUUAGUCGGUCCCUAAGGCGAGGCUGAAAAGCGUAGUCGAUGGAAAACAGGUUAAUAUUCCUGUACUUCCAGUUAUUGCGAUGGAGGGACGGAGAAGGCUAGGCCAGCUUGGCGUUGGUUGUCCAAGUUUAAGGUGGUAGGCUGAGAUCUUAGGCAAAUCCGGGAUCUUAAGGCCGAGAGCUGAUGACGAGUGCUCAUUAGAGCGCGAAGUGGUUGAUGCCAUGCUUCCAAGAAAAGCUCCUAAGCUUCAGAUAACUGGGAACCGUACCCCAAACCGACACAGGUGG